GAAGUCUAAGAACUUGCUCUCUGUAUUCAACGUCUCCCUUAUUAAACAGAGCGCCUGCCACAUCUUCCUUUGUCGAAGGGCCUCAAAGGUUUCUCUCCGAGGUUUCCUUCUAUAUUUUCUAUAAAUUUGACUCAUCCCUUGUUUAAAAGCGAAAGUGAACUUAAUUACAAAAUAUGAAGCAUGUUCAGUAAAUAUUGACCGACUCGAGUUGCUGAUGAAACUCUCAUCAUUCAAUAACAACGAUGCGUCUUUCUUUACUUCUCUGUUUCAACCUCCAGAGCAGAAUGUUGGGAAUGGGUAAUAGGCGAAUUACCUAUUAAUAAUGACCUCCACAGUUAACUGACUGAUUAACUUGAUUUCUCGGAGUGAUCUCUAAAACAGCCUACGUUUCACUUGGAUCAAGUUUACUGAGUUCACAGAAGAGAUCAGCUAUAGCCAACCGCAGUGCUUCACAUUGACAUUUUCAGUCUUUUUUUGGCCGCACAGUACGAGAAAAACUGUUACUACGACAACAGAAAUGCUUUACUGAAGAAAAACGAUCACGGCGAAAACUACAUCAGAGCUAUUAAUACGCACGUUAUUAUGAUCCCUCGGAUGGCCUCUAAUAUUUGUCAACGUCUUCUCGAUAAAGAAAUCAAAUUCUAUUCCAGUUAUACGAUUAAGCACAUCAGGCUAAAGGCAUUUAUGCCAUAGGCUUUGCGCAAACAGACGCCCGUGUUUAGUAGAUGUGGCUACAUCUGUGGAGCAUUCCAGCGACAUUUACAAGCGACUACAGGAGCACAAACGGCAGGAUUUGGAUAUCAAUGGGUUUGUUAACUGGAUCAAUUCCUUCUUACUAAUGGGCAAGACAUACGAUUCAAAUGGGUAGAAGAGAAGGCUAACGAUCAUGUAGAAGCAAUAGAAGGAGAAUACCUCGACUGUAUACAUAAAACAAUCGGUUAUUGGCCAGAAUAUAACAAAAAGCAUUGAAACAAAUGUAACUAAGUCUCACGAGAACUUACAUACCGAAGCCAAGCAUCUGAGAUAUAGCAACUAUUCGUUGUUCUUAUUAAGCUCUAUUAUAAAAUUAGAAUUGAGAUUUGAUAAACUCGUAACUUCAUACAGAUGACUUAACUGGAUCCGCUGCUUGUGAGAUAGUUUAUUUCCUCCCAAGGGGUUUUCCUGAUGAACAGUCACUCCAUCGGCCAUGAAUGAUAUAUCGAUGGAGAUAAAGAUGUUGUUUUUGUUGUCGAUCUUUCUCCAUCCACAAAAUGCCGAUGCAAAUCUCAGACUAUGUCAAAAUCCAAUCACAAUUACUUGAAGAACGAUUCACUCUUCCCUCGCCUCCAAAAAAGCAGGAACUGCAAUCAUUUAAACCCACGUUUAUUCCUCGUUCAUGUUACCUUGAUCCUGAUAAAGGUUCCUUCUACAUGUACUUGGGUGGAAAGGCCGAAACAAACUAACCAAAUUCAACACUGUUCAAAUACUAUAUGCACCAUCACUCUCUCUCCUUCGUAUUCUCUGAUGUAAGUCAGAAAUCAAAUUGAAUCAUGUAGAAACACUGUACAUGAGUCGGGUCGUUAUAUUGUCUUCGACUCAGCGAAGAGAUCAAUAUGCGUACGUAAAAAAAGGUUGUAGCGAAAACUAAGACCCCCGAAAACUAAGACCUAAGACCUAAGACCCGAAAACGAAGACCCGAAAACUAAGACCCCCUUAUUUUAUUAAUUUUUGCCCUUUGUUUAUCUUUUUGAUCUAUGAUCUAUGGUCUUAGGUCUUAGUUUUCGGGGGUCUUAGUUCCCACUCAAAGACGAAGGAAACGAUAAUCAAACAAAAGUGAACACCGUGAUCAUAGAUCACAAAGAUAAACAAAGGCCAAAAAUUAAUAAAAUAAGGGGGUCUUAGUUUUCGGGUCUUCGUUUUCGGGUCUUCGUUUUCGGGUCUUCGUUUUCGGGUCUUCGUUUUCGGGUCUUAGGUCUUAGGUCUUAGUUUCGGGGGUCUUAGUUUUCGCUACAACCCGUAAAAAAAUUCUGAGAAAUCACACACCGUGACCAUUUCCUAGAAAAGAAGACAAGAGCAGGGCAUUCUGUCAGAAUCCAACAAAUAUGAAUGCAAUGCAAACCAAAUAAUAGAUCGAUCAGGUACUAUGACUGUAACUGUAUUAGAGAAAUGAUAUCAUUUCAAAAGUAAGAGCUAAGCCAGCACUUGCGGUUUCGGAGGGAAAGUCCCAUCCUUUGGCAGUGAUAAAGAAUUUCAUAAACCUGCAGAAAUUAUUGUAUCAUAUCAAGAGAUGUUUAUGAAAUUCUUAUAACCAUUAAAAUUAAAUAUUACAGUUAACGAAAUAUCCCUUUGCUGAUCGACCAAUCAGAUUUUGGAAUAUAACAAAAAGUGUUUUCUUAUUGGUGAGAAAGCCGGGAUAAACUGAAAUAGACAUGACAUCAUGGAGUCUAUUUUAACUUGGGAGCAGAGGCGCUAAAUUCAAAUCCAAAAACUUGAAACAUUCUGUUCACAAGAUCGCUGGAACUACGCUUAUUAAGAGAGCUGAGACACCAAAACGUCUUCCUGAUUGCCCAUCUUAAGGCUCCAGAAACUCAAGCGAAGAUGGCUAACGACAUAUGCGAUAAUCUGAUACAUAAGCAAUGGUUACGUUACAGCGACUCCUCUUUGAUACCUCAUGUUGGGGGUAUUUAUGUGAUUGGAGUAAAGAGGUCGUCUAAAACAGCCAUCAUAUACCUGUACUUGGGGCAGUCCGUAGAUGUCCAUGACCGGAUUAAGGAGCACAAGUACAGUGACCAAAAGAUAGAUGGCUUUAUCCGACGAAACAUCAGAAGGAAUGGUGGAAAGGACUUAAGAGUGAAAUGGAUCCAGCAGGAAAACCAUAAGUUUAAGGAAGGAGUGUACAUCAAGUGCAUGGAGAAAAAGCUUGGUUACAAGCUCAAAUAUAACAUGAAAGGGGGCAACAAUUAAAUACAUAUGCUCCGUGAAAAUGUAUCCUAAAAUUACUACAUAUAUAUUUAUGAUAAAAGUCACGCAUCAAUUUUAUUUGUUGUUGUAAUUGUAAGCCUAGUUCAACAGUAGAAAAGCUAGAACAUUUGCAAUUAAAAAUAGAAAUUGCUCUGUAAUUUAUUUUCAUUUGGCUAAGUUUGUGAGGGCAAUGUGAUAAAUUAUAUAAUAGAAGUCACAUGUAAGUAGAGACCACCUUGUUAAGAAUAAACCGUCUUUGAAGCUUGGAAUGCUGUCGUUUUUGUGGAUAAUCUGUUGAAGCGUUUCUAGUGUUAACUUCGCUCCUACCGCGAAAGCUUGGUAUAGACUUUGACGUGUAUUGUUAAGGUCUACGUAGCCUCAGUAUUCACACAGAAACGUUUUCAUGAAGCAAAUCUUUAGCCUGCGCACAGGCUUAUAGUAUCACAGUAUGGCCUGCGUGUAUAGCCUUAAUUGACUACGCCGUACGUUCCUUUUCUGUAUCUUUGUUAGUUUGUUAGUUAUUUCGCAUAACUGGG
rnacentral:lncRNA from 1 species